rnacentral:rRNA from 1 species
GAUGAACGCUGGCGGCGUGCCUAAUACAUGCAAGUCGAGCGAAUGGAUUAAGAGCUUGCUCUUAUGAAGUUAGCGGCGGACGGGUGAGUAACACGUGGGUAACCUGCCCAUAAGACUGGGAUAACUCCGGGAAACCGGGGCUAAUACCGGAUAACAUUUUGAACCGCAUGGGUCGAAAUUGAAAGGCGGCUUCGGCUGUCACUUAUGGAUGGACCCGCGUCGCAUUAGCUAGUUGGUGAGGUAACGGCUCACAAAGGCAACGAUGCGUAGCCGAGCUGAGGGGUUGAUCGGCCACACGGGGACGGAGGCACGGCCCAGACUCCUACGGGGGGGAGCAGUAGGGAAUCUUCCGCAAUGGACGAAAGUCUGACGGAGCAACGCCGCGUGAGUGAUGAAGGCGUUCGGGUCGUAAAACUCUGUUGUUAGGGAAGAACAAGUGCUAGUUGAAUAAGCUGGCACCUUGACGGUACCUAACCAGAAAGCCACGGCUAACUACGUGCCAGCCGCCGCAGUAA